rnacentral:rRNA from 1 species
UCGGGAAUUUUGGGCAAUGGGCGAAAGCCUGAUGGAGCGACGUCGCGUGAUGGACGAAGUGCUUCGGCACGUAAACAUCUUUUAUGUGGGAUGAAAUUAUUGACAGUACCACAUGAAUAAGGGGCUCCUAACUCUGUGCCAGCAGGAGCGGUAAUACAGAGGCCCCAAGCGUUAUCCGGAAUCACUGGGCGUAAAGGGUGUCGAGGCGGUUGUAUUAGUCGUUCGUAAAAUCUACGAGCUUAACUUGUAGGCGGCGAACGAAACGGUACGACUUGAGGUUUGGAGAGGUGCGUGGAACUCACGGUGUAGGGGUGAAAUCCGUUGAUAUCGUGGGGAACACCAAAGGCGAAGGCAGCGCACUGGCCAAAAUCUGACGCUCACACACGAAAGCUAGGGUAGCGAAGAGGAUUAGAUACCCUCGUAGUCCCUGAGCGGGCUGGCAAGGCGCAU